rnacentral:rRNA from 1 species
UACGUAGGGUGCAAGCGUUGUCCGGAAUUAUUGGGCGUAAAGAGCUUGUAGGCGGUUUGUCGCGUCUGCCGUGAAAAUUCGAGGCUCAACCUCGAACUUGCGGUGGGUACGGGCAGACUAGAGUGUGGUAGGGGAGACUGGAAUUCCUGGUGUAGCGGUGAAAUGCGCAGAUAUCAGGAGGAACACCGAUGGCGAAGGCAGGUCUCUGGGCCACUACUGACGCUGAGAAGCGAAAGCAUGGGGGAGCGAACAGG